UAAUCCAGAUACUAACAAGCUUGUGAUAAGUCGGGACGUGGAGUUUGAUGAAGAAGGAGAAUGGAAUUUUGGUUCUCACGAGGACUUUAAUUCCACUAUUCCAACCGAAGAAGAAGAACAAAGAUCUACAGCAGAGGAUGCCCAGCAAGAGCUAAAUACUCCACCUACCUCGCCAACAGCAGUUCAAGAUGACUCGCCACCAUCGUUUCUAAAUGAAAGGAGCAAGGAACGCCCAAGGA
rnacentral:lncRNA from 1 species